rnacentral:rRNA from 1 species
AUGAAGUUGAGGAUUUAUUGGUAAAGAGGGGGAGGGUGAGUAAGGUGGGUAAUAUGUAAAGGAUAAAUAGAAAGGUAUGUAAUAGGGAUAAUAUAUUUGAGAGGAUUUUUGAAUAUAAAGGUGAGAGUAAGGAUGGAGGUUGAUUAGUAGUUGGUAAGGUAAGGUUAAAGGGAGAUAGUAGGAUGAGAGGGUGAUGGAAUUGGAAUGAGAAGGUAAAUUAGGGAGGAGAGUGGGGAAUAUUGGAAAUGGGGAAAGUGAUGAGAAGGGGUGAGUGAUGAAGGUUGGGUGUAAAAUUGUUAAGGAAGAUAAUGAGGUAUUGAGGAGGAAGGGUAAUAGUGAGAGGGGUAAUAGUAGGGGGUAGGUUAUGGAUUUAUGGGGUAAAGGGUGGUAGGGGUUUUAAGUAGGAGUGAAAGGUAGGUAAGUAGUAAGUUUGAAAUGGGAGAUUGAGUGAGGAGAGGAGAGUGGAAUUUAGUGUAGGGUGAAAUGGUAGAUAUUAGGAGGAAAAGUUGGGAAGGGGUUUGGAUGUAAUGAGUGAGGAGAAAGGUGGGGAGAAAAGGAUUAGAUAUGGUAGUAGUGUAAAGAUGAGUAUAGGUGUGGGGGUUAUUGGUGGAGUAAGAUUAAGUAUGUGGGAAGUAGUGAAGAGUGAAAUAAAGGAAUUGAGGGGAGAAAGUAGGGAGAUGUGGUUUAAUUGAAGAAGGAAGAAUUAUAAGUUGAAUAAUGAAUUUUAAUGGAGAGUUUUGGGGAAUUGGUGAAGGUGGUGAUGGUUGUGUAGUGUGUGUGAGAUGUUGGGUUAAGUGAAGAGGAAUUGUUUUAGUUGAUAUUAAGUUGGGAUUAGAGAGAUGAGGGAUAAUGGAGGAAGGUGGGGAUGAGUAAAUAUAUGUUAUGUUAGGGUAAAAGUGUAAAUGGGUAGUAAGAGGGUUGAAGGUAAGGUGGAGUAAUUUAAAGUAUUAGUUGGAUUGUAGGUGAAAUGUAAUGAAGUGGAGUUAUAGUAAUGAGAUAGAAUGUGGGUGAAUGGUUGGGUUUGUAAAGGUAAAGGGAGUUGGAGAGGAAGGAUUAUUAAUUUUGGAAGAAGUGUGAAGGUGGAAUAAUAAUGGGGUGAAGUGUAAAAGGUAGGUAUGGAAGGUG